rnacentral:lncRNA from 1 species
CGCCCUUCCUGAGCUGAGCGUGCCUGUUCCCUGGCCAGCUCCUCGGCUCAGGCAGAGCUGGCUGUUGUCUCCUGAGGGCGUUGGUGCUGGGAGCCACCACCAAACAUCACCCCCGUGGCGGAGUGCGGGGUUCCGGGCAGCCUGGAGCAUUCCUGGGCUUUUUUCCGUUGUCACCCUCCCCACAGCAGGCAGAGGACAGCCACAGGAGCCAGGUCUGUAGUAGUGGUGGCCUUGGUGGCCUGUCCUGCCCACUUUUUGUGGCUGUUCUGGGUCCGGCCGUGCAGUUGAUGUUUGCUGGGCAUUGCACCAGUCCCUGGAGUGUCCGUGCCAGGUGGAACCUGCUGCCUCGCUGCCAGCACCUGGAGGGUAAAAGGACCCAGCUGGAUGCUCCUCCUCUGCUGGGUGAAGGAGACCUGGAAACCCCAGUGCUGGGGCUGUGGGGAGCACUCAGAGCAGUGCCUGUGGGGGCUUGUCAGCUCCUGCUCACCUGGACAUGGCUGGGCAGAGAGGAGGGCUGGCCCUGCCCCUGCUCUGCCCCCUGCUGCUGCUGCUGCUGCUGAGCCUCACCUGCCUCUCCGUGCUGCACCUGGCUCUGGAGACCACUGCCCUGGGUGUGACAGCAACUGUGUCCCCAGCUCUCCCUACCUCCUCAACACCCAUGGAGAGCUCAACGCUGCUGCCUACCACUGACUCCACCACCACAGCCACCCUCCUUUCCUCCAACCCUGAAACAGAAGCCUCCACCCCAGAGGAGUACAGCACAUCCACAGAGACUGGCAGCACCUCACCUCCCACUGUGCUUCCUCCCACCACAACUACAGAGGAUUCAUCUGAAUCUACAGAAGAGACCUUGGCAACCCUGGCAGACACCACAGCCAGCCCUGUUAUCAGCACAUCAGACCCCAUGAGAACUCCCUCUUCAAGCUACCCAGACAGGACCACUCCUGACAUCUUCCCCUCAACUGUGGAGUCGACUCCAGGCACUGAGCCCUCUUCCCCUGCCACCAGCUCAGCCCAGACCUCAGAGGCUGCUACCCUCAGCACCCCUGCAGCACUGCCAACGCUGCUGCCAGCCUGCCCCUCUGGCUCACCCAACACCACCCCAGGUGCAACUCACCUCUUUCUGUCGCUGAGGCUAAGCACCCCUCUGGACCUGGGGAACACCACGGUGCAGGAGCUGCUGUUGUCCAAGCUCCGUGAGGACCUGCAGACAGCAUUCCCCUGCGCUGGCCUGUCACUGGCGUGGCGAGGGAAGAGGAGGACUUGACUGCUGCCCCUCACCUGGACUGCCAAGCCACCUGCUCCCAGCUCCUCACUCCACGGUGGUGCAGGCCCCUGGGGAACCCCAUACAGCUCCUCUUGAACCUGGGGCUUCCUGUCCUUCACUCUGUACCCCCAGUCCCCUCCUGCCCCUUCCCACAGCCUGUCUGAAGAGCCUGAGCCCUCCCACCACCCUGCUCCAGACCUGGUUCCCCCUCCAGCUCUGCUGGGGGGCUGGGAGAAGGGAACCCCAUGGGACUGGGCUUUUACAUCUGGGACUGAGCUGCCUCAGCCAUCAAAGCCACCCUGGGGACAGGAAUGAGAGGAAGGAGACCUGAAGCCCUCAGUACUGCUGUGCCCGAGGCUCACCUGUGGUAUUGCUGACAGAGGAGAACACCCAUGCCGGGCAGUAAAUAGAAAUUCCAUGUUUUCUGUGUUGAAGUGGUGACUUCUUUAUUUUC